AAAUUGAAGAGUUUGAUCAUGGCUCAGAUUGAACGCUGGCGGCAGGCCUAACACAUGCAAGUCGAACGGUAACAGGAAGAAGCUUGCUUCUUUGCUGACGAGUGGCGGACGGGUGAGUAAUGUCUGGGAAACUGCCUGAUGGAGGGGGAUAACUACUGGAAACGGUAGCUAAUACCGCAUAAUGUCGCAAGACCAAAGAGGGGGACCUUCGGGCCUCUUGCCAUCGGAUGUGCCCAGAUGGGAUUAGCUUGUUGGUGGGGUAACGGCUCACCAAGGCGACGAUCCCUAGCUGGUCUGAGAGGAUGACCAGCCACACUGGAACUGAGACACGGUCCAGACUCCUACGGGAGGCAGCAGUGGGGAAUAUUGCACAAUGGGCGCAAGCCUGAUGCAGCCAUGC
rnacentral:rRNA from 1 species